GAAACUUCUUUCGGUAUGCCUCUGAUGUGAUGGCAUACCGGGCUAGGAUGGCCCGUUUUACUUUAGCGUAGUCUCUACUAUCCUCAUCUGGUACUGCCCGGUACGCUUCGGCGGCUCGCCCAGAUAAUCUCCCCGCUAGUAGGGGUACUCUGUCUGCAUCAUUAAUUUCGUGCAGCAAACACAGUCUCUCGAAAUCCUGUAAAUAGUCGUCAACGCCACCCUCUGUCUCCA